GACGAACGCUGGCGGCGUGCUUAACACAUGCAAGUCGAACGGAAAGGCCCUGCUUUUGUGGGGUGCUCGAGUGGCGAACGGGUGAGUAACACGUGAGUAACCUGCCCUUGACUUUGGGAUACCUCAAGAAAACUGGGCUAAUAACGGGAUAGGAGUUCCUCCGCCAUGGGGGGGUUGGGAAGGUUCGGGCGGUUGGGGUGGAACCGGGGCUUAUCAGCGUGGUGGUGGGGGAGUGGCUUACCAAGGCUUUGACGGGUAGCCGGCCUGAGAGGGUGACCGGCCACAGUGGGACUGAGAUACGGCCCAGACUCCUACGGGAGGCAGCAGUGGGGAAUAUUGCACAAUGGGCGGAAGCCUAAUGCAGCAACGCCGCGUGCGGGAUGACGGCCUUCGGGUUGUAAACCACUUUCGCCUGUGACGAAGCGUGAGUGACGGUAAUGGGUAAAGAAGCACCGGCUAACUACGUG
rnacentral:rRNA from 1 species